rnacentral:rRNA from 1 species
AUUGAACGCUGGCGGCAGGCCUAACACAUGCAAGUCGAGCGGAUGAAGGGAGCUUGCUCCUGGAUUCAGCGGCGGACGGGUGAGUAAUGCCUAGGAAUCUGCCUGGUAGUGGGGGAUAACGUCCGGAAACGGGCGCUAAUACCGCAUACGUCCUGAGGGAGAAAGUGGGGGAUCUUCGGACCUCACGCUAUCAGAUGAGCCUAGGUCGGAUUAGCUAGUUGGUGGGGUAAAGGCCUACCAAGGCGACGAUCCGUAACUGGUCUGAGAGGAUGAUCAGUCACACUGGAACUGAGACACGGUCCAGACUCCUACGGGAGGCAGCAGUGGGGAAAUAUUGGACAAUGGGCGAAAGCCUGAUCCAGCCAUGCCGCGUGUGUGAAGAAGGUCUUCGGAUUGUAAAGCACUUUAAGUUGGGAGGAAGGGCAGUAAGUUAAUACCUUGCUGUUUUGACGUUACCAACAGAAUAAGCACCGGCUAACUUCGUG